CAUAUAUAAAUUAGCAGAAUAAUAUAAGUUUUUAAUAAUAUAAAUCAUUUGAAAAAAAGUUUGUCCAUGCAUUUCAGGUCAUGUCAUGACAAGUGGUUAGCUAUUUUACAAACCUGUAUUCUGAAAGCACAAACAGUUGCGUAUAAGUGCUUCCAGGGUCAAAGUUCAGGAGAAUGAGCGGCCAUUUCAACCAGCACCAGCAGAGGUUCUCUCCACACUCGAGAUCAGCCGAAUCAGAGGCAAAAUGCACGAAUGAAGCCGACUCGUUGAAAUACAUCUUUGGAUUCGAAUUUGAUGGUUUUACGUCUCGAGCUUGACUCGGUCUUGCCUAGUCCUGGUCUUGCACUUGAUGAGGGUCUUCUUGACUACAGCCCUAAUUUUGAAUCUUUAGCCUGCUUACACAUCAGAUGCCACACCUCCGAACCUGCAACACAAAAUAACCCAUAAGAACGUUCCAAUUCAUCUCUCCAGUCAAAAGUGAUGAGUUUUUUAGCUUUAGCACUUCUGAACAGAGGAAGUAACUCGCUCAGGGCCAGAUGUGUGUACGUAAGGAGACGUUCACAACGUGUCUGAAAUUAACAUUUCAUUUUCUAAAGCUGUAGCUCAUCACAGAAACCCAAGACACAUGGAACCAUCUACUAAAUGCACUGUGUGUGUGUGUGUGUGUGUGUGUGUUUUAAAAGCUGCUGUGAAGUGGUACAGACAAAAAGCUCGGGACUUGUAAAGAGGAAAUACAAGUUCAGUAACAAAGAUAAUGUGUUUAAUAAAAGAAGUUCUCAUGCAGUAAAGUUUUAAUGAAGAAGAACAAUCACACUGUAUUCAUUUUUCCUGUGGUUGAUUGUGGCUUUGGAAAAUUGGCAGAUCUCACCAAAGUGCUGUUUAAUGUGUUGAAUUUCUUGUUAAAUGUCAGGAAAAUUGAUGUUUCUGUUCCUGAUGUAAUGCAUUAUAACCAGAUCUGCAUGACAAAAGCAGCUCAAUUGAUAAACAGCAUUAAAACAAACCGCUUCCCCCCGAAUAAUUCUUUCUUAGUUCAAAGCCCUAAAAUAGUCCUGUAUUAUUACACACGCUGUCAUGAAUAAAAUAUAUAGGAAAUAUACAGGAAACAACUGAGCCACAAGAAUGGAGCCCAUUUUUUUGAGACCUGCACAAAAACUGACCGCGGCUAAUCGCCCAAUAUUUAGUACAUCAGACAGGAAUAUGUAAUCAGCUGCACUUCACAUUUCUCCAAUCUGCUGUUUUCCUCACUUUUUGCUUGAUCCUCCCUCAUCUGCAUGAGAAACAGAAACGCACUUUGCAUGUUGCCGUGCUUAAGUUGCGUGUUUAGGCUUGCACACCAGGUUCUUACAUAACACACAAGGCUUUUGGUGCAGAAUGAGACCUAAUUACAGCUGAGAACGGGAGCAAACAACAAAAUAUCUGGCCCUCAGUGUCUCCUUGUUGUUUGCCACACACACACACACACACACACACUUGAAAGAACCCAAACAUUUUUUUUUAAAUAAAAAAUCCAUAAAUACCUUGAGCUAAAUCAGAU